UCGAUUUCUCUAAUUGCCUUUCUCCACCCAUGCCACCGACGCGACGAGAUGCUUGACCUAGCCGAAAAAGUCCACUGACCUUUACGUCUGCUGAGAGAGACACUUUUGCGCUCUAUCCUUUGGGCUGGGACUGGUUGGCGAGAUGAAGAACGAUCGCUGGAAGAGGAUCAUCUAUCCUAGACAAGACGUUCUUCGUGCUUCUCAGCGCGGAUGGACGAUUUUCGCGAUACUAAUUUCCGGUAACGAAGUUACCGAAAGGCGGUUUGUCUGAGGACUUCAAAGCUGAGACCUUUCACUUUCGUCUGACUAGUGGUAGAGGUAGGAGUGGUUUUCAUAGAUCGGUCGUGAUAGGAAUAAAGUUUGAACAGAUAGUCAGGUUGUGCCCGUGUGAAAAGACGUGAACCCCAUCGUGCUCAGAAGGUAGAAAUUCUCUGUGUUUUUUAAACCCAUGAGCUAUAAUCAGCACGGCGCACUAGUGACACCCAACCACAUCGCCAGCAACCGUCAACCCACCGACAGUCGGACAGAGAUCUGGCUAGCCAAAAGACCGGAAGAGGGCCAACGACACCACGUGCCCGGAACAACCACCUAUAGGCCGAUCAGGGAUCGGCAGCUGCAGCCAACGACAACCGUGAAGGAAUAAAGCGACGAGCAGCAGAGGAAAAGGGAUCCGCGUGGGCGGAUCGGACUAAUCGACGCCAGGAACAGCGAGCAACGGACA